rnacentral:rRNA from 1 species
UACAGAGGGUGCGAGCGUUAAUCGGAAUAACUGGGCGUAAAGGGCGCGUAGGUGGUUAUGUAAGAUCAAUGUGAAAUCCCUGGGCUUAACCUAGGAACUGCGUUGAUGACUGGAUAGCUAGAGUACUGUAGAGGGUAGUAGAAUUUCCGGUGUAGCAGUGAAAUGCGUAGAGAUCGGAAGGAAUACCAGUGGCGAAGGCGGCUACCUGGACAGAUACUGACACUGAGGCGCGAAAGCGUGGGGAGCAAACAGG